AUGAACGCUGGCGGCGUGCCUAAUACAUGCAAGUCGAGCGAACGGACGAGAAGCUUGCUUCUCUGAUGUUAGCGGCGGACGGGUGAGUAACACGUGGAUAACCUACCUAUAAGACUGGGAUAACUUCGGGAAACCGGAGCUAAUACCGGAUAAUAUUUUGAACCGCAUGGUUCAAAAGUGAAAGACGGUCUUGCUGUCACUUAUAGAUGGAUCCGCGCUGCAUUAGCUAGUUGGUAAGGUAACGGCUUACCAAGGCAACGAUGCAUAGCCGACCUGAGAGGGUGAUCGGCCACACUGGAACUGAGACACGGUCCAGACUCCUACGGGAGGCAGCAGUAGGGAAUCUUCCGCAAUGGGCGAAAGCCUGACGGAGCAACGCCGCGUGAGUGAUGAAGGUCAUCGGAUCGUAAAACUCUGUUAUUAGGGAAGAACAUAUGUGUAAGUAACUGUGCACAUCUUGACGGUACCUAAUCAGAAAGCCACGGCUAACUACGUG
rnacentral:rRNA from 1 species